CAGCCGCCGCGGUAAUACGUAGGUGGCAAGCGUUGUCCGGAAUUAUUGGGCGUAAAGGGCUCGCAGGCGGUUUCUUAAGUCUGAUGUGAAAGCCCCCGGCUCAACCGGGGAGGGUCAUUGGAAACUGGGGAACUUGAGUGCAGAAGAGGAGAGUGGAAUUCCACGUGUAGCGGUGAAAUGCGUAGAGAUGUGGAGGAACACCAGUGGCGAAGGCGACUCUCUGGUCUGUAACUGACGCUGAGGAGCGAAAGCGUGGGGAGCGAACAGGAUUAGAUACCCCCGUAGUCCCUGUCUCUUAUAC
rnacentral:rRNA from 1 species